rnacentral:lncRNA from 1 species
AUCCAUUUGUUCACCAGAUAUAUAAUUUAUUAUGUUGCUUAUGCAUUGUACACUGUAACUCCAUUAUUCCAGCAACUCAAAACCCCAUCCAAUCACUUGGUUCAUCUCACUGUUACAAUCUCUAGGGUGUGUUGUCCUUUGCAUCAGAUUCGAAUACUGUUCCUAUAGCACAGGAAAACUAUAAACACAAUAUAUAAUUGUAUCCAUUCACAUCCAGUAUACAGGAGGCCAGGGACACAGUGGAAUGACAUGGUCAAAUUGCUGAAGAAAUAACUACCAACCCAGAUUUCUAUCCACAACAAUAGUAUUUUUCAGGAAGAGCACAAUAUAAGAUUAUAUCUGGUCAAAAAUUGGAAAUUUAGUAGAAAAGUAACCCUAAAAGUUAUCCUUAAGGCCAAAGGAAAGUGAUUACAGGUGAAAGUUCUGCAGUGGUAGAAGGAAUGAGAAUCCAAGAGAUGGAUGCAUCUGCAGAUCAAUACAAUUACUUAUUAUCUCUAUACAACAUGAACAAUAUCUUCUAAUUGAGCAGAAUAAUAGAUAUGCUAUACUCCAAUACCAACACUCAAUGACAUCCUUUGAUGUGUUCAAGAGAAGGGUAAAGGUAUUAACAAUUCUAUAAUAGGUUAGAGAAGUGUUACAAUUCUUAUCUUAGACUAAUGAAUAAAAUGAGUAUAUACAUUUCAAACUAAAAGAAAAUUAAGAUUAUUAAAACCUAUAUAUUUUUAAAAGAAAGCACAAAAAACAGCCUAGAAGAAAACCACAAAAUAAGAUGCAUUUAAAACCAAAUAUAUUAGCUAUCACAUGAAUUGAAUACAGAAUGCGUGAAUAGUAAUUUCUAAUGGAUUAAAAUAAUCCAGUAGUAGUUCAUAAAUUACACAUCUAAGAUAUAAUGUCAUAGAAAUAUAUGAAAUAGAAGAAUGAAAUAUGUAUACUUAUAAUUACUAAACACAAACACACAAAAAUGUGUAUUUGCAUCUGACAAGUAGGAAUAAGGAAGAAAACACCAGUAAAAUAUACUUUACAGUUUAUACACUUUUAAAAAUUUUAAUAUUACUUUUUAUAAAGAUGAGAGUUUCACUAUGUUGCCCAGGCUGAUCUCAAAUUCCUGGCCUCUGGCAAUCCUCCUGCAUAGGACUUCCAAAAUGCUGGGAUUAUAGGAGUGAGCCACUGCACCCGGCCUGUAUACAAUUUUUACCAUCAAUUCAAAUUACAUUAAAAAAAUUUAGUAUAAUGAGAGUAAAGAAUUAAAUAUACAGACAAACCAGGAUAUUUUAAUAUUAGCUAUCUCAGUAAUGAUUUCAAGAAGGCAGGUAUAACAUUGGUGAGGUUCUAUUAGAUUCAUACACCAUAAUGGACAAAUCUGGACUGACAGAUACAUACAGAACAGCAGAUAUCAGUUGCCGAAUGUUUUCUUUUAGCACAAACUGAGUAUUUAAAAAACUGACAAUAUGUAGUAUCAGAAAAAAUCUUUAACUUUCAUAGAAUAAAAGAGAGAAUACAAUCAGUGUAGAGAUCAACAAAAGAUACCUCAAACUCCUGGCCUCAAGUGAUCCUCUUGCCUCAGCCUCCCAAAAUGUUGAGAUUACAGGCUUGAGCCAUCAUGCCCAGCCUAGAUACCUGAUUUCUUUUUAAUUAUGCUUGAAAUUCAAAUUACAAAAUACUAAGUAACCCAUGCAUAGAGGAAACAAAAAUUGAAGAUUAUUUUAUUUGUAAAAUAAUGACAAUACCAAUUUCAUAGGACUUUUUAUUAGUAGUAUCAUAGGCAGUCUUCUGACAAAUUAGGAAAAGUAGAUAGGGUCUGUCCUUAGAGUAGUGGCUUGGGCUGAUUACCUAACUUCUCUGCACCUCAGCACUGUCAUCAUUACAUUGAAGGGGUCCCUACGGUGCCUUAAAGUGCUCAAGCUCUAUUAUUCACCACACUAUUUUGUCAUUUUUAAAUUAUCAUAGGAUAUUCAACCUGAAGUUUUACUUUACCUGCCCACGUCAUCUCUACAUAUUCUCAUGAGAUGCAGUUCAUGAAUUCUAAAGCAGUAUCAUUUAAUGUAUUAUUUUAAAAAGAUAUUUAGAAAGGUAUAUUCAUUUCAAACAUCUUUAAGAAUAACAGUAUAUCCACUUAAUACCAAAAAGCAUCUCUACAGCAUUAUUUCAUUUAUAUCAAUUUUUAAAUCAGCCAAAAAUGCAAAGCUACUAUUAGUAAUAUACAUUUAAGGUGUCGAACUAUGAAGAAAGUAAAAUGAGUAAGGCAAAAUUCUGGAUGGCGGCAUCCUCUGAAGGUGGAGGAUGGAAUUGGCAAUCUGGCAGGCUCAUGCCGGGCAUGCUGAUUUUGUUCUAUUAUAUAAUCAAGGGGCAGGGUUGAGUGUAUUAGUUUAUUAUAUUUAUCAUGUUUUCCCAUUUUUUAUUCAUGUAUAAGUAAAGAUUAAGUGGACAAAUCUUAAUAGCCUGAAGACUGUCUACAUGUGUUUCCCAUGUAAUUCCUAGUAAUGCAAAGAGAGAGAACAUUCCCAAUAGCUUCUCAGGCACAAAUUUGCCCUCUCAGUUAAUACUGCAUAAAUGUGACCAUUAUCUUGUCUUUUAUCAUCAUGUAUGAUGUUUGGUUAUGAACUUAACAACAUAAUUCUACAGUAUUUCCUACUGUGUAUCUGGUAUGCCACUGCCACUCAAGGUUUCUUUGAGAGGGAGACUAUAUAUUUGUUACUAUUAUUAAUGAAUCUAUUUCCAUGACUGCUGUGAAAAACCCAGGCUGAGUUAACAGUGAUGAGCUCUGGCCAGGCACAGUGGCUCACGCCUGUAAUCCAACACUUUGGAAGGCUGAGGCAGGAGGAUCACUUGAGCCCAGGAGUUCAAGACCAGGCUGGGGAACAUAGGGAGACCUCAUCUCUAGAAACUCACAGGUGGCAUGCGCCUGUGGUCUCAGCUACUAGGGAGGUUGAGGCAGGAGGACUGCUUAGGCCAGGAGGAUAAGGCUACAGUGAGCUAUGACUGCACAACUGCACUCCAGCCUGGGGGAUAGAGCAAGACCCCAUCUCAAAAAAAAAAAAAAGAAAAAGCCUCAAGCAUGUCAGUUCAAAAAAAAUUUUUUUUUAAGUGAUGAGUUCUGGAGGUAAAUACACCCACUCUGGAUUUUCUGGUUACAAUCACCACCUUGGACACCUACAGUACUCACCACUGGGGUCCCCUACAGCCCUCACAGGCACUAAGCUUAGCUGACGGACCCGCCUGGAGUCCAUACAGCUGUGCUCCUGAGGAAGGAGCUGACACUGUCCUGCCCCCAGUGGCCCAUACAGCUACUGUGCUGUUAUUUUGGAACGGCUGGAGUUCUGUCUGGUUCCAUGGCACCUCUUCAUCCCUGAGGAUAAGCCAUCACCAUCCACCCCCACCUGGUGGCCCAACAUCUACAAGCAGCUUUUCCACCUUCCCAUGUAGGGCCAUGCAGUGGGAGAGCUGCACCACCUACCCCUCAAGUCCCUAUGCUAGGCUGUGUCCUGUCACCUUCGACUAGAGCUGAAGCUGUGCACUCCCUCCUGGGAAAACAAUGCUCUGGCAGAUGUGCAACAUCCACCUCUCACUGUCUACCUCUCAGUCUACUUCUCCCAAAACUGCCCUGCUUCCAGGGACCUGAGCUGAAGCUGCACAUUGCCUCCUGAGGAAAGGAUGCCUUGGCGAAGCUCCUCCACCUACCCCUCCCAGAUGCUGCUACAUCCUGCCCCUCUAGGCCAGAGCUGAAGCAAUGCCAGGCAUCCUGGGAAAACAGUGCAUUAACCAUCCAGAGCAGUCACACCCCUCUGUACCUGAGCUGAAGCAGUACCUUGUCUCCUGGGAAAACAGUACUUUGGCCAUCGAGAGCAGUCAUGCCUCCCCAGUGCCUAAGUUUAAGCAGCACCCUACCUACCACCCUGCCUUCCAGGUAACAGUGUCUUGGCCAUCCCAAGCAGACACACAGUCCAGUACCUAAUCUGAAGCAGCUUCCUGCAUCCCAGGAAAAUGGUGCCUGGGCCAACCUAAGGUCACACACCCUAGACCUGAGCUGACGAGGCACAUUACCCUCUGGGGAUGCAGUGCCUUGCCUGAACUGAGUAGCUAUGCAAUACUGGGCUGAGCUGGCAUGGGCCUUCACAUUCCAGGGAAACAAAGCAGGGCAUGAGAUGAGACACCCCACACUACAGGCCAAACAACUCUAGUACUCACUUUAGGGAGCUAGCUGGAUAACCAGCUGCCAGGGGGCAGGACUAACACCCUGAAGUAUGGGCUGCUGAGACAGCUUUCUCCCUGGGGAGCUGAGUCAUCACUGGGCUGCUCCCUAUUGCCCAAGGCCCAAACAAAAACUGUGCUAUGCCAGAAACCCAAGUUGCCAAUGAGCCUGAAUGGUUCAGGUUACCAAACUGCAGCUGUAUUCUGUUUCCUUGGCCCAAUACUCCAAAGCACCACUUCUUCCCUAGAGUUGGGCCUGUGCUGUGCCUGGCCGCCCAGAAACAAAAAGCUACAACCUGGCCCUUUGGGCCCAAGCUGCUAGGGAGUACAUCAGAGUUACAGAUCUUGGCUCUGUGGUAAACCUACCUCCAAUUCUACCACAUGGAGCAAAUCUAUAGCUCAAAACCCAGGUGCCACAAUAGGUUCAUCAGAUGCUGAGCCUAGAACCCCAGACCCACAGCUGCCCUGAGCACCUGCACCUGGAACCCAGAGCCACUGUACCUGCCUAUAGGCCAUAUCAUACUUGACAGCAAGAAGUAUCUUCAUGGCUAAGUAACUUCAUUGUGGGGCAAAUGAAAAUAGGAGGACUCCAAAAAAGCCCUUGCCAUUAACAACCUAUGCCAUUACUGCUACAAACUUUUACAACCUAGGCCACUGAGGAAAACAAAGUUACUGCCAACAUUAAAUACUGUUGAUAAAGCUGAACAAAGACUAUACCAUUUCACUUAUCUGGAAACAGAGUUACUACACCCUUCUCAACUAGCACACUAAGGACCAAGUGCAGGUGAAAGCCUCUAUGAAAGUGACUGUAGAAAAAUGGGAAGACGCCAUUGUUUCACCAGAUGCACAGACAUCAAUGCAGGGACAAUAGAAACAUGAAAAGGCAAGGAAAUGUGUCACCAUGAAAGGAACACAAUAACUUUCCGUUAACAAGCUAGAAGGAAAUCUACCAAUUACCAAAAAAGUAAUUCAAAAUAAUGAUCUUUUAAAAACUCAACAAGGCCAGGUGCAGUGACUCACACCUGUAAUUCCAGCACUUUAGGACACCAAGGUGGGCGAGUCACUUGAGGUCAGGAGUUCAAGACCCGCCUGGCCAACAUGGUGAAACCCUGUCUCUACUAAAAAUACAAAAAUUAACUGGGUGUGGUGGUGCACACCUGUAGUCCCAGCUACUUGGGAGGCUGAGGCAGGAGAAUCACUUGAACUUGGAAGGCAAAGAUUGUUGUGAGCCAAGAUCACGCCACUGCACUCCAGCCUAGGUGACAGAGUGACACUCUGUCUCACAAACAAACAAACAAACAAAAAACCCUCAAUAGGAUACAAGAUAAUACAGAAAGAUAAUUCAAUAAAAUCAGAAAAACAAUUCAUAACAUGAAAGAGAAAUUUAAGAAAGAAAUAUUUUAAAAUCACCAAACAGGAAUCCUGCAGCUGAAGAAUUUAAUGUAUAAAAUAUAAGGUACAAUAGAGAGCAUCAAUAGCAAACUUACUCAAGCAAAGAAAGAUAAAGAGUUUGUUUGGAAUUACCAGUGAGAGAAGAAUAAAUAAGAAUGACAAGGAGUGAAGAAAGCCUACCAGACUUAUUAGAUAACAUCAAGGGAAAAAAAUUUCAUAUUUUUAGAGUUCCAGAAGGCAAAGAGAUGACAAAAGGCAUAGAAAAUAUAUUUAACAGGUCGGGUGCGGUGGCUCACACCUGUAAUCCUAGCACUUUGGGAGGCUGAGGUGGGUGGAUCACCUGAGGUCAGGAAUUUGAGACCAGCUUGGGCAACAUGGCGAAACCCCGUCUCUACCAAAAAUACAAAAAAUUAGCCAGGCAUGGUGGUGGGUGCCUGUAAUCCCAGCUACUCGGGAGGCUGAGGCAGGAGAAUCACUUGAACCUGAGAGGCAGAGGUUGCAGUGAACCAAGAUUGCACCGUUGCACUCCAGCCUGGGCAAGAAGGGUGAAAAUGCCGUCUCAAAAAAAAAAGAAAAAAAGAAAAAAAUAUAUAUUUAAUACAACUUUUUAAAUAAAACAGGCCAGGCGUGGUGGCUCACGCCUGUAAUCCCAGCACUUUGGGAGGCCAAGGCAGGUGGAUCAUGAGGUUAGGAGUUCAAGACCAGUCUGGCCAACAUGGCGAAACCCCGUCUCUACUAAAAGUACGAAAAAUUAGCUGGGUGUGGUGGUGUGCACCUGUAAUCCCAGCUAUUUGGGAGGCUGAGGCCAGAGAAUCGCAUGAACCCAGGAGGCGGAGGGUGCAGUAAGCCAAGACUGCGUCAUUGCACUCCAGCCCGGGCGACAGUGCGAGACUCUGUCUCAAAAAAAAAAAAAUUAAAAAAAUAAAACAUAUUUAAUGAAAUUAUAGCUGCUAAGGAGAUCACAGCAAGAUUAAAAAUAAAAGAAAACGAAAAAGACAAUGAAAUAAUAGCUAAAAACCUCCCAAGUCUUGCGAGAGAUAUGGACAUUCAGAUCCAGGAAGCUCAAAGAUCCCCAAAAAGGUCACCUCCAAGGCACAUUAUAUUUGAACUGACAAAAGUCAAAGACAAAGAGAAAAAUCCAAAAGUACCAGUAGAAAAGCAUCAAGUCAUAUAUAAGGGAAUCUUCAUUAGAAUAACAGCAGAAACCUCACAGGCCAGGAAAAAAUGGGAUGAUAUAUCCAAAUUUCUGAAAGAAAAGAAAAAAUAUCGGUCAAAAAUACUAUGCACAGCAAACCAAUCCAUCAGAAAUUAGAUUAGGUAGAAAUAAAGUGUGUCUCAGGCAAGCAAAAAUUAAGGGAAUUUAUCACCACUACACCAGCCUUUCAAGAAAUGAUCAAGGGAAUGCUAUAUCGGGAAAUAAGAAGACAAUAAUCACCAUUAUGUAACCACAUAAAAGUAUAAGACUCACUGGUAGAGCAGAUAGGCAAAGAAAAAAGAGAAAAAAAAAAUCAAAUCUUAUCACUACAGAAAACCACCAAAAUACAAUGAUAAAAAAUAAGAGAUGAAGAAAAGAACAAAGGAUAUACAAAACAUUCUGAAAACCACAAAAUGAAAGGAGUCUUCACUUAAAAAUAAUAACCUUGAGGUAAACAGAUUAAAUUCCUACCUUAAAAGAUAUAUACUAAAUGGGUUUUUAAAAUGACCCAACUAUAUGCUACCUAUAAGAAACUCACUUCACCUCUAAAGACACAAAUAUGGCCAGGCGCAGUGACUCACACCUGUAAUCCCAGCACUUUGGGAGGCUGAGGCGGGUGGAUCACCUGAGGUCAGUUCGAGACCAGCCUGGCCAACAUAGUGAAACCCCAUCUCUACUAAAAAUACAAAAAUUAGCCGGGUGUGGUGGCGCACACCUGUAGUCCCAGCUACUCGGGAGGGUGAGGCAGGAGAAAUGCUUAAACCCAGGAGUCAGAGGUUGCAGUGAGCCAAGAUAGCACCACUGCACUCCAGCCUGGGUGACAGAGCGAGACUAUGUCUGGAAAAAAAAAAAAAAAAAAAAGACACAGACUGAAAGCGAAGGAAUAGAAUAUAUUCCAUGCAAAUGGAAACCAAAAGCAAGCAGGAGUAGCUAUACAUUUUUUUUCUUUUUUCUUUUCUUUUUUUUUUUUUUUUACCACAAUCAUGACUAUAUAAGGAGUAGCUAUACUUACGAUAAGAGACUUUGUAUCAAACACAGUAGGGAUGAAAUCAGGAAGAGGAUACAAAAAUUGUAAAUAUAUAUGCACCCAAUAUCAGAGCACCCAGAUAUGUAAGGCAAAUAUUAUUAGAUCUAAAGGGGAAGACAAUACAAUAAUACAAUAAUACUUGUGGACUUCAACACCCUACUUUCAGCAAUGGACAGAUCAUAUACAUAGAAAAUCAACAAAGAAACACCAAGUUUAAACUGACUUUAGACCAAAUGGACUUAAAAGACACUAACAGAUCUUUUCAUCCAACAGCUACAGAAUACAUAUUUUUUUUCAUAAGCACAUGCAAUAUUUUCAAGGAGAGGCCACAUGUUAAACCACAAAACAAAUCACAAAAAUUAAAAGAAUUAAAAUCACAUCAAGUACCUUUCUGACCACAAUGAAAUAAACCUAGAAAUCAAUAACAAGAGGAACUUUUAAAGCAGCACAAAUAAAUGGAAAUUAAAUAACAUGAUUCUGAAUGACCAAUGGGUAAUGAAGAAAUUAAGAAACAAAAUUUAAAUGUCUUAAAAUGAGUGAAAACAGAAACACAACAUAUAAAAAUGUAUGGGAUGCAGCAAGAGCAGUUUUAAGAGGGAAGUAUUUAGUAAUAAACACCUACAUCAAAAACAAGAAAGAUCUGGCUGGGCAUGGUGGCUCACACCUGUAAUCCCAGUGCUUUGGGAGCGCAAGGCAGGAGGACGACUUGAUGCUGGGUCAAGACCAGCCUGGGCCAUAUAUAUAGCAAGACCUUAUCUCUAAAAAAAAAAAAAAAAAAAAAAAAAAAAAAAAAAAAAAGAUUAGCUGGUCAUGAUAGCGCAUACCAGUAGUCCUAGCUAUUCUGGAGGCAGAGGUGGGAGAACUGCUUGAGCCCAAGAAUUCAAAACUGAGGUGUGAGGAUCACUUGAGCCCAGGAGUUUGAGUUGAUUGUACCAUUACACUCCAGCCUACGUAACACAGUAAGACCCUGUCUCUUAAAAAAAGAAAAAAAGAAAAAAGAAAAAUCUAACAAUGCUUCUCAAGGAACUAGAAAAGAACACAUCAGACCCAAAAUUACAAGGAAAGAAUUAAUAAAGAUCAGAAGAGUAAUAAAUAAAACUGAGACUUAAAAAAAAAUUCAAAGGAUCAACAAAAUGAAAAGUUCAUUUUUUGAAAAGAAACCAUUAGACUAACCAAGAGAAAAGACUCAAAAUCAAACACAUACAAAAAUGACACUGCAACUGAUACCACAAAAAUACAGAGUCAUUAGAGACUAUUAUGAACAACUACAAACCAAAAAGUUGGAAAACCUACAGAAAAUAAAUUCCUAGACACAUACAACCCAUCAGGAUUGAACCUAGAAGAAACAGAAAAUUUCAAUUGACCAAUUCUGAGUAACAAGAUUUAAGCAGUAAUAAAAAGUCACCCAUCAAAGGAAAGUCCAUGAUCUCAUGGCUUCACUGCUGAAUUCUACCAAACAUUUUAGGGGAAUUAAAUAUGAAUUCUUCUCAAACUUUCCCAGAAUAAUGAAGAGGAGGGAAUUAUUCUAAACUCACUCCACAAGCCAGCAUUACCAUGACACAAGCACCAGAUAAGGACACACACAUGCAAAAGAAAACUACAGGCCAAUAUUCCUGAUGAACAUAAAUGCAAAACUCCUCAACAAAAUACUAGCCAACCAAAUCCAAAAGUACAUCAAAAAGAUUGUUUACCAUGACCAAGUGGAAUUCAUUCUAGGGAUGCAAGAAUGGGUUCAACAUACACAAAACAAUAAACAUGAUAAAUCAACAGAAUGAAGAACAAAAAAUGUGAUUAUCUCCAUAGGUGGAGAAAAAGCCUCUGGUAACAUUCAAUAUCCCCUCAUGAUGAAAACUCUUAACAAAUUACACAUAAUAAUAGAAAGAAUGGGCCGGCCGCGGUGGCUUACACCUGUAAUCCCAGCACUUUGGGAGGCCGAGGCGGGCGGAUCACGAGGUCAGGAGAUCAAGAUCAUCCUGGCUAACAUGGUGAAAACCCAUCUCUACUAAAAAUACAAAAAAUUAGCCAGGCAUGGUGGUGGGCACCUGUAGUUCCAGCUACUUGGGAGGCUGAGGCAGGAGAAUGGUGUGAACCCAGAAGGCGGAGCUUGCAGUGAGCUGAGAUCAUGCCACUGCACUCCAGCUGGGCGACAGAGCGAGACUCCAUCUCAAAAAAAAAAUUAAAAAAAAUUAUAAUAAUAAUAGAAAGAACGUACCUCAACAUAAUAAAGGUAAUAAGUAACAUACCCACAGCUAACAUCAUGCAUAAUGGGAAAGUGCUGAAAGCUUUCUCUCUAUAAUCUGAAACAAAACAAGUAUGCCCACUUUCACACCUUUUAACAAAGUACAAAAGGUCUGAGACAGAGUAAUCAGGCAAGACAAAGAAAUAAAGGGCAUGCAGAUCAGGAAGCAUGAAGUCAAAUUAUCCCUGUAUGCACAUGACAGGAUCAAAUAUAUAGAAAACCCUAAACUCCAAAAGUGGCACCAAAAAAAUCUUAGGACUGAUAAAUUCACUGAACUUGCAGGAUAUAAAAUCAACAUGCAAAAAUCAGCAGCAUUUCUAUACACCAACAAUGAAUUAGCUGAAAAAGAAAUCAAGAAAGCCAUCCCAUUUACAAUACUUCAACAAAAAUAAAAUAAGAAUACAUGGAAAACUAUAUAACACUGAUGAAGUAAAUCAAAGAGGACACACAUAAAAAAGGAAAAACAUCCCAUGGUCAUGGAUUAGAAUGGUUACUAUAAAAAUGAACAUACUUUCCUGUAAGAGAUAGCUUAUGAAAAAAAAUGAACAUACUACCUCAAGUGAUCUACAGAUUCAAUGCACUCUUAACAAAAUACCAAUGACAUUUUUCACAGAAAUAGAAAUAGUAAUCCUAAAAUUCAUGAUAUCACAGAAGAUACUGAAUAUCCAAAGCAAUCCUAAGCAAAAAGAACAAAAUGGGAGUCAUCACACUACCUGACCUUGAAAUAUACUACAAAGUGAUGGUAACCAAAACAGCAUGGUUCAGGUAUUUUUUAAAAACCACACAAACCAAUGGAACAAAACAGAGAGCCCAGGAAUAAAUCCCAUUUACAGCCAACUGAUUUCUAACAAAGGCACAAAGAACAUUCACUGGGAAAAGGACAGUCUCUUCAAUAAAUGGUGCUGGGACACUGGAUAUUCAUAUGCAGAAGAAUGAAAGUAGACUCAUCUCUCACCAUACACAAAAAUCAACUCAAAACACCAAGUAUGCUGGCUCAUACCUGUAAUCUUAGCUACUCAGAAGGCUGAGUUGUGGCUCACUUGAGUCCAGGAGUUCAGGACCAAGCUGGGCAAUGUGGUGAGACUAUGUCUCUAAAAAAUAAUUAAAAAGCAAAAACAAAAAUUGGGAAUGUAUUUUUAGGGCAAUUUGAAUCUAUGCUCUCAGGAUAAUCAACUCAAAAUGGUUUGAAAGCUUAAAUGUAAGAGCAAAAACUAUGAAACUACAGAAGAAAACAUAGGGGAAAUGCUUCUGGAUAUUGGUCUGGGCAAGGAUUUUAUGAAUACCUGAAAAUCAAGGUAACAAAAGCACAAAUAAACAAAGGGAUUAUAUUAAACUAAAAAACUUCUGCACAGCAAAGGAAACAACAGAAUGAAGAGACAACUAGUAGAGUGGGAUAAAAUAUUUGCAAACUAUUCAUCUGAAAGGGAUUAAUAUCCAGAAUAUAAAAGGAACUCAAUAGCAAAAAAAAUAAAAAUAAAAAAUCUGAUUUUAAAAUGGGUAAAUAAGGUGAAUAGACAUCCCUCAAAAGGAGACAUACAAAUGGCCAAGUAUAUGAAAAAAUGCUCAACAUCACUAAUCAGGGAAAUGCAAAUCAAAACCACAAUGAGAUAUAAUUUCACCUCAGUUAGGAUGGCUAUUACCAAAGAUAAAAAAUAAAAAAUGCUGCUGAGAACAUGGAAAAGGGGGAACUCUUAUAUAUGGCUGGUAGGAAUGCUAAUUAGUAUAGCCAUAUGGAAAACAGUAUGAAUGUUCCUCAAAAAUCUAAAACUAUAGCCAGGCACGGUGGUGUGUGCCUGUAGUCCCAGCUACUCAGGAGGCUGAGGUGCAGGACUGCUUGAGCCCAGGAGUCUGAGACCAGCCUGAAUAACACAGCAAGACCCCAUUUUAAAAAAUGAAAAAUAAACAAAAGUUAAAAAUACAACUACCAUAUGAUCCACUGGUAAUGAUCUAUACCACUACUGGGCAUAUAUGCAAAAACAAAUAUAUCUAUACGUCAAAGAGAGAUCUACACUCCUAUGUUUAUUGAAGCACUAUUCAUAAUAGCUAAGAAAUCAGUCUAAGUGUCCAU